UGCUUUGGUCUUUGACCAACGCACGGCACCACUUGCUGUCUCUUUACUCGUGCUUGAACGAACCCCACUUCAGACAGCAUUGUACGAUUUAUUAAAUAGCCUACAGACGGGAUGGACCACAACAGAUGUAAGGUUUCGAAUGGUCGAUAGACUGCCUCGUCUUCAGGAGGACAGACAGCGAGGUGAGAGGGGGAGAAAGCAGAAGACGUGCGGGAAAGGGGAGGGCUUCAGUCUGCCCAGCCGAUGCUAAUCUUCACCAUAUCAGAUGUUUGAACAGCCUCGCCGGCUGCAGUGCUCAGAUCACAGGCUGCUGCAACGGCGAGUUCAAACGCCUGGUCACGUGGGACCUCACCAAAGCACAAAAAGGUCGGGAAAAUGGGCAUUAAAUCGGACGUAGCGCUUGAUAACCCAGUUUCUGUCCUGCUUGUAGGGGGUGUGGUGAUGCUGCUGAAAAAAGAGAUCAGGACAUCCUGCAUCAGAUGCUUUAAGGAUGGCCAUUGAAGAUGUGCUGAAAAGGCAGGCCAGCAGAUUGAGGUGAGUUCUUUUGGUACCUCCUAAUAUAUGUAUUAUAUGUACAUUGUGUUGUUUAUAUAGUGCCAUUCAGCUGUUCACUGCUAUUAAGAAAAACAGCCUUCGCACAAGUUGUGGUGCUUUAUUAACCAGCUGCUGUUGGCCACAGCUACUCAAAUGGCAGGGAAAACAAGUAAGUGGCUUGCUAAGACAAAGUUUUCUUUAAGUAUAAUUCUGUUGAUAAUUCAGUGGUGGCUACUGUAGAACCCCAAUAUACCUAGUUGUCUAUUAGCUAACUAGCUCACAUCUUGGCGACUUGGAGGUGUAGGCCUACAGUUCUUGGUUUGCCAUAAAAUGAAUUGUAAAUGACUUGAUCAUUUCUAGCCUAUUGAGAACUUUCUAGCGUAUAGCCUACCUGCAUGAACACCUUGAACACCACUGUUGGCAAAAACUACUGUAAAAAACAAGGUGAAGUAAUCCAAAGCAAGGUUCCACCCUGCAUUACCAACCAUCCGUAACCAAAACUGUUCAAUGCUGGCGUUUUUACCUUUUCAGUGAGCCCAUUUACUUCUUGAGGCUUCCAAACCUUCCAAACCCUUUGGAGGCACGUCUUCAUGAGAGUUCCAUCUCCCUGACUAAACCAGUGUUUGUAUUGUAGCUGCACACAGUGUUGCCUUCCAUUUUUUGCUGCUCUCCUCUACUUCUUUCCUCUGCAGGUGAGCCGUGAACAGGCAGUAUUGGCAAGAAAAUGGCCCCUCCUUAGCUUUACUUUAGGGACCUUCACCUUGCAACCAAAAAUACAUUCUAUCAAGACAGAUGUCAAGUGGUGGAACAUCCAUGCUGAUCGCCCUCAAAUUCAACAGGAUUAUACGAUCAUGUUAUUGCCAUUGGAGCUCCAUCAAAGAUCCAUUUGUGUUAACCUAAAGCCUCCCUGUGUUUUCCCUAUGCUUUCUGUAAAGAGUUUAGGCUUUUGCGGAAACAUCACCACUUGGUCUAAGGCCAACCAGCCUCUUUUCCUGGGCUUAACAUCAAACUGAUGACUUAUCAGUGGCUUAUUAACAAACUCCCUUUCGAAAACUCAGCCCCUAAAACUGUUAACCUCCUCAGUUUUGUAUGAUAGACAGUAGCUUGAUAUUGGCACACAGCUCCGCGGAUUGUGGUUCAGCUUUCCUAACAAAUAUAAAGAUAUGGGAGGUAUAACAAUCCUAAAUCACUCUGAGAAGGUAACCGGCCUCUUGUUAUGUGUUAUUUUCAGCAUCAGGCAGACUUGUCUCUUGAAAAUGAUGGCAUUCGCUAUGAUUGGUAGUUCCACUAACUUAGACUUACUGUACCUGUGGAGUGGGAUUAGAAGAUGGAAAACAUAAAAAUGAAUGCUGUCUUUUCAUUGCUUUCCAGUGCUCUAAUGCCUGUCUUUCCCUCAACUAAUACUAAUGCCUUUUUGGAAAGGAUUAAAGGGAAUUGUGGGCUAAAGUACAGGAACCUGUUACUAUUGUAUUAUUUGAGUAAUAAUACCUGCAUAAUAUUUACUACAUUUGACAUACUGUCACUUCUGAAUGGGAGCUCUUCACAAAUUAGCAAUGAAAUCAUAGCCCUCAAUGACCAGACUGUCCUGUUAUCCUUGACUCAUAUGGAAUGGAUCUAUACUCUUUUUCUUUCCUCUUCUUUAUUCUUCUCCUUGUGACCAACGACACUGACUCCUAGCUUUGAAGCUUACAGCACUAACCCUUGAUAUUUACACUAACCUCUGCUAUGCUUGUAUCUCCUUGAAAGCCACAGCAUAUUAGCCUCAGUUGAAACUGCCUUGAAUCUUCUUAUUACUAACAAUUUCUAACAUCACUAACAAGGUUAUGUGGGCUGAGAUGGUUCAAACUAAUACAAUCAUAAUAGAUACUCCUGUACACUCUUAAAAAUAGACGUGCCAAGAAGGGUUCUUCGGAGAGACGUUGUAGGAGAACCACUUGCUUCCUAAAGAUCCUUUCAAUGCAUGGGACUUUGUUUUUGUAAAUGACGUGUGAGAGUAAAGAAUCUUUUGGAAGUUUAUUGAACCUCCACAUUAUGUAAAGGUUCUAUAACAAUGGAAGGUUUUCCGUAGAACUGUACACCCACGCCAAGAACCGGGAGCCUUUAUUUUUAAGAGUGAAUUAUAGAGGGAACUCCUUGUAUGCUUGAGAUUCAGUGGUAGGACGUGUUCUCAAGAUCUGUAUGCAGAAUGUGUAUUUUCUAUGGAUGAUGCAUGUAGUGCCAAAGAUGCUCCACACAAACUGUGAUGAUGGAGCACAAAUGUACUAACCGUACUACAAUGUGCCGCUGCUUUAGACGGAAUGAUAUGACGCUUCUGUCUUGCUACUAACCCUCAGCCUGAUUCUCUUCCCAUCUCUCCUACUCCGUUUCAUGAUGUGUGGAUUGGUGGGCAGACAUGUUAGUCCCAUGGUGGCCCAAAAACGGGUAGGGGGGGAGAAAGGAAGAUGUCACUAACAGAUAUUAACCAACUAACUGCAUUAGAACCUGUGCAUCGAGUGCUUGAUGUCUAAUGUUCCUCUCUUUUCUCUUCCAUUAUCUUUCCUGUCUUCAGCGCUGCCGCUGACUUCCAUCCCUCCGCAUGUUUGUGCAGAUCUUACUUGUUGAAAUGGUUUUGGUCGUGUAUAAAGUAUUGACAGACUAAUCAACUACUCUUACUGCAAAAUAACAUGUUCUCUGCCAGUGGCGAUUAAGUGCUUUAUUCACUAACUUGCGAAAGAUUUUCUCUUCUACUAACCAGUGCACUCUCUUGCUUGGUCAUGCAGGUCAUGCAGAAUGCUUGGUCAUUCUUUGCCCUUAUUUGUUUUGUCCUUAAACUUACACAAGGUGAAAUUGCAACAAGAUUCAUGUAAAAUGAAUAUUUCAUAUCAAUUAGGCCUGAAUGGAAGUCUUGACGAUUAAGCUUACUGCAAGUAAGGCCCCAAAGCAGCAUCAAUACAUAGAAAUUGCUGCAAUUGGCCCAUUACUCACUUGGACAGAUUUCCUUCUUAUAUCUGUGUGGAAAACAUGUAAUUGAGGCCUUUUCUGGUAACCAGGAGCCGUGCAGUAACAUACUAACAACAACUAACCAACUAACAGAAUGGCUUUCUAACACACUAACUGGUCAAUUUUACACAGGCUACAGUUCCUGUGAAAUACUUCAAUUCAGUGUUCAAGACUAUCAAAUGUCUGUGUUGAUAAUAACAUAAACCUCAUGGAAGAUGAGGGUCAUACUGGGCAUACACAAGCACAAGCCAACCCGGGGAAAGAGUCUUGUUGGCCUUACCGAGGGUUUACAGUGUUAUUUUAGAUUCAUAAGCAUUUUUAUUAGUGAGAAAAUGAGUUUCUUUACAGUCUGUGAAAUAUCUUGUGAAAUAUUUUUGAUACCACGAAAUGUAAAUGUAGUAUUAAAGUCAUGCUGAUUAACACCUGAA